CUUGGCAUCAUGUUCUCCUCCACCAGUCUUACACACUGCUUUUGGAUUACUUUAUGCUGCUUUACUCCUGGUGCAAAAAAUUAAGCAGUUCAGUUUGGUGGUUUGAUGGCUUGUGAUCAUCCAUCUUCCUCUUGAUUAUAUUCCAGAGAUUUUCAUCUUGGUGAAAUCAAAGAAACUCAUCUUUUUUUUUUUUUUUUAAGUGGUCGCUUAGUUUUUUUUUUCCAAAGCUGUAAAUCUAUUUUUCUGCAGGUUUCACCACUAACUAAAAAUACUGCACUCCAUCAGCUUAUUAGGCACUUCUCAAUACAGUGGUCUGUCCCAAUUGUGUACUAAUUACGUAUAACUAGUUUUUCAGUAUGUAAUAUGCAAAGAAAGUGUUAAAGUUGACUAUACUCAAAUGUCCAAGAAACAUACUCAGAACUCUGUUAGUACAGAUUGGGUUAUCAUAUUAAUAUUUAGUGCACUAACCUGACAAACCUGCACUAUUAAAAUUAGUAUACACCUUAUACUUUAAAUUAUAAUACACAAUUGGGACACAGACAGUAAUUAGUUUGAUUGAAAUAAAUGAUAAAGUCUGCAGGAGCGCUAGUUAACUUUAAUCUCUGUAUUAAUUGUGAAUCACAACUUCAUGACUGAGAUUAUGGCUGAGAAAAGCUUAAAUUUAAGGGAACUGAUCAGAAAAUUAAAGAGUUCAUUGCUAAUUAUGUUAUAGCUUUAACGGCUGUGCUGAAUUUUAAUCCAAGAGUUUGUAAAUUUUGCUUUCACAAGUAUUUAAUGUUUGUUGCUCAGCUUGAUUUAAGAAUGACACGAUGACAUUAAUAACAGAAACCCUCUUCUGACAUGAAGGUCUGUUUGAGAGAAAUACUCUUUCUCACUGAUAUCAUUUUUCUUUGCAUUUUGCCCCAGACCUUGUUGGUUAAAGCCUGCCUUUGGAGGAGUUAUUUUAAUAAUCAACAGAGAUGUGGGAAUUAUAACAUUCCAGCUUACAAUAACUGUUUUGAUAUUAAAGCAUAUUGCUUGAAUUUGA